rnacentral:rRNA from 1 species
CUACGGGAGGCAGCAGUGAGGAAUAUUGCACAAUGGGGGGAACCCUGAUGCAGCAACGCCGCGUGGAGGAUGACGCAUUUCGGUGUGUAAACUCCUUUUAUAUGUCAAGAGAAUGACGGUAGCAUAUGAAUAAGCACCGGCUAACUCCGUGCCAGCAGCCGCGGUAAUACGGAGGGUGCAAGCGUUACUCGGAAUCACUGGGCGUAAAGGACGCGUAGGCGAGUUGGAAAGUCAGGUGUGAAAUCCUACAGCUUAACUGUAGAACUGCACUUGAAACUUCUAAUCUAGAGUAUGGGAGGGGGGGAUGGAAUUAGUGGUGUAGGGGUAAAAUCCGUAGAUAUCACUAGGAAUACCUAAAGCGAAGGCGAUCUCCUGGAACAUUACUGACGCUAAGGCGUGAAAGCGUGGGGAGCAAACAGGAUUAGAUACCCUAGUAGUC